UAGAGUUUGAUCAUGGCUCAGGAUGAACGCUGGCGGUGUGCCUUAGACAUGCAAGUCGAACGAAGCACCUUAUAUGGAUCCCUUCGGGGUGAAGAAUUCGGUGACUUAGUGGCGAACGGGUGAGUAACACGUGGGUGACCUGCCCCGAAGUGCGGCAUAACAGGGGGAAACUCCUGCUAAUUCCGCAUGUGCUCCCACCUCUUGUGGUGUGAGUAAAGAUUUAUCGCUUCGGGAUGGGCCCGCGGUCCAUCAGCUAGUUGGUAGGGUAAUGGCCUACCAAGGCGACGACGGAUAGCCGGCCUGAGAGGGCGAUCGGCCACAGGGGCACUGAGAUACGGGCCCCACUCCUACGGGAGGCAGCAGUUAGGAAUCUUCCACAAUGGGCGAAAGCCUGAUGGAGCGACACCGCGUGAAGGAUGAAGGCCCUAGGGUCGUAAACUUCUAAAAGAGGGACGAUAAUGACGGUACCUCUUGAGAAGCACCGGCUAACUCCGUGCCAGCAGCCGCGGUAAUACGGAGGGUGCAAGCGUUAUCCGGAAUCACUGGGCGUAAAGGGCGCGUAGGUGGUCUGUUAAGUCUGGCGUUAAAGCCUGGGGCUCAACCCCAGAUCAGCGUUGGAUACUGGCAGGCUAGACGGUUGGAGAGGCGAGUGAAUUACCAGUGUAGCGGUGGAAUGCGUAGAACUGGUAGGAACCCCAUUGCGAAGGCAGCUCGCUGGACAACCGUGACAUUGAGGCGCGAAGUGUGGGGGAGCAACCGGAUAAAUACCCGGUAGUCCCCCCUAAACAAGGCUACUUGGUGUUGGUCU
rnacentral:rRNA from 1 species